rnacentral:rRNA from 1 species
GUCAGCAGCCGCGGUAACACCGGCAGCUCUAGUGGUAACAAUUUUAUUGGGCCUAAAGCGUCCGUAGCCGGUUUAAUAAGUCUCUGGUGAAAUCCUGCAGCUUAACUGUGGGAAUUGCUGGAGAUACUAUUAGACUUGAGACCGGGAGAGGUUAGAGGUACUCCCAGGGUAGAGGUGAAAUUCUGUAAUCCUGGGAGGACCGCCUGUUGCGAAGGCGUCUAACUGGAACGGUUCUGACGGUGAGGGACGAAAGUUAGGGGCGCGAACCGGAUUAGAUACCCGGGUAGUCCUAACUGUAAACGAUGCGGACUUGGUGUUGGGGUGGCUUUGAGCUGCUUCAGUGCCGAAGGGAAGCUGUUAAGUCCGCCGCCUGGGAAGUACGGUCGCAAGACUGAAACUUAAAGGAGUUGGCGGGGGAGCACCACAACGCGUGGAGCCUGCCGGUUUAAUUGGAUUCAACGCCGGACAUCUCACCAGAGGCGACAGCUGUAUGAUAGCCAGGUUGAUGACUUUGCUUGACUAGCUGAGUGGAGGUGCAUGG